rnacentral:rRNA from 1 species
UACGGGGGGGGCAAGCGUUGUUCGGAAUUACUGGGCGUAAAGCGUGCGCAGGCGGUUUUGUAAGUCAGAUGUGAAAUCCCCGGGCUUAACCUGGGAACUGCGUUUGAAACUACAAGGCUAGAGUGUAGCAGAGGGGGGUGGAAUUCCACGUGUAGCAGUGAAAUGCGUAGAGAUGUGGAGGAACACCGAUGGCGAAGGCAGCCCCCUGGGUUAACACUGACGCUCAGGCACGAAAGCGUGGGGAGCAAACAGG